UACGUAGGUGGCAAGCGUUGUCCGGAAUUAUUGGGCGUAAAGCGCGCGCAGGCGGUCCCUUAAGUCUGAUGUGAAAGCCCACGGCUCAACCGUGGAGGGUCAUUGGAAACUGGGGGACUUGAGUGCAGGAGAGAAGAGUGGAAUUCCACGUGUAGCGGUGAAAUGCGUAGAGAUGUGGAGGAACACCAGUGGCGAAGGCGACUCUUUGGCCUGUAACUGACGCUGAGGCGCGAAAGCGUGGGGAGCAAACAGG
rnacentral:rRNA from 1 species